rnacentral:misc_RNA from 1 species
GAUGAAGAACGCAGCGAAAUGCGAUAAGUAAUGUGAAUUGCAGAAUUCAGUGAAUCAUCGAAUCUUUGAACGCACAUUGCGCCCUCUGGUAUUCCGGGGGGCAUGCCUGUUCGAGCGUCAUUAUAACCUCUCAAGCUCUCGCUUGGUAUUGGGGUUCGCGGUUCCGCGGCCCCUAAAAUCAGUGGCGGUGCCUGUCGGCUCUACGCGUAGUAAUACUCCUCGCGAUUGAGUCCGGUAGGUCUACUUGCCAGCAACCCCCAAUUUUUACAGGUUGACCUCGGAUCAGGUAGGGAUACCCGCUGAACUUAAGCAUAUCAAUAAGCGGAGGA